UACGUAGGGGGCAAGCGUUGUCCGGAUUUAUUGGGCGUAAAGAGCUCGUAGGUGGUUCGGUAAGUCGGAUGUGAAAUCUCCAGGCUCAACCUGGAGGGGUCAUUCGAUACUGCCGUGACUAGAGUUCGGUAGGGGAGUGUGGAAUUCCUGGUGGAGCGGUGAAAUGCGCAGAUAUCAGGAGGAACACCGAUGGCGAAGGCAGAUCUCUGGGCCGUAACUGACGCUGAGGAGCGAAAGACAGUGGGGAGCGAACAGG
rnacentral:rRNA from 1 species